rnacentral:rRNA from 1 species
CUGGGCUACACACGUGCUACAAUGGACGGUACAAAGAGCUGCAAGACCGCGAGGUGGAGCUAAUCUCAUAAAACCGUUCUCAGUUCGGAUUGUAGGCUGCAACUCGCCUACAUGAAGCUGGAAUCGCUAGUAAUCGCGGAUCAGCAUGCCGCGGUGAAUACGUUCCCGGGCCUUGUACACACCGCCCGUCACACCACGAGAGUUUGUAACACCCGAAGUCGGUGGGGUAACCUUUUGGAGCCAGCCGCCUAAGGUGGGACAGAUGAUUGGGGUGAAGUCGUAACAAGGUAGCCGUAUCGGAAGGUGCGGUUGGAUCACCUCC